rnacentral:rRNA from 1 species
GACGAACGCUGGCGGCGUGCUUAACACAUGCAAGUCGAACGGAAAGGCCCUGCUUUUGUGGGGUUCUCGAGUGGCGAACGGGUGAUUAACACUUGAGUAACCUGCCCUUUACUUUGUGAUAACUUCAGGAAACUUGGUCUAAUACCUGAUAUUAUCUCCUGCUGCAUGGUGGUGGUUGGAAAGUUUCGGCGGUUGGGUAUGGACUCGCGGGUUAUCAGCUUUUUGGUGGGGUAGUGGCUUACCAAGGCUUUGACGGGUAGCCGGCCUGAGAGGGUGACCGGCCACAGUGGGACUGAGAUACGGCACAGACUCCUACGGGAGGCAGCAGUGGGGAAUAUUGCACAAUGGGCGGAAGCCUGAUGCAGCAACGCCGCGUGCGGGAUGACGGCCUUCGGGUUGUAAACCGAUUUCGACUGUGACGAAGAGUGAGUGACGGUAAUGGGUAAAGAAGCACCGGCUAACUACGUG